rnacentral:rRNA from 1 species
UUAGUGGAAGCGUCUGGAAAGGCGCGCGAUACAGGGUGACAGCCCCGUACACAAAAGCGCAUGUGCUGUGAGCUCGAUGAGUAGGGCGGGACACGUGGUAUCCUGUCUGAAUAUGGGGGGACCAUCCUCCAAGGCUAAAUACUCCUGACUGACCGAUAGUGAACCAGUACCGUGAGGGAAAGGCGAAAAGAACCCCGGCGAGGGGAGUGAAAAAGAACCUGAAACCGUGUACGUACAAGCAGUGGGAGCACCCUUUGGGGUGUGACUGCGUACCUUUUGUAUAAUGGGUCAGCGACUUAUAUUCUGUAGCAAGGUUAACCGUAUAGGGGAGCCGGAGGGAAACCGAGUCUUAACCGGGCGUUAAGUUGCAGGGUAUAGACCCGAAACCCGGUGAUCUAGCCAUGGGCAGGUUGAAGGUUGGGUAACACUAACUGGAGGACCGAACCGACUAAUGUUGAAAAAUUAGCGGAUGACCUGUGGCUGGGGGUGAAAGGCCAAUCAAACCGGGAGAUAGCUGGUUCUCCCCGAAAGCUAUUUAGGUAGCGCCUCGUGAAUUCAUCUCCGGGGGUAGAGCACUGUUUCGGCUAGGGGGCCAUCCCGGCUUACCAACCCGAUGCAAACUGCGAAUACCGGAGAAUGUUAUCACGGGAGACACACGGCGGGUGCUAACGUCCGUCGUGAAGAGGGAAACAACCCAGACCGCCAGCUAAGGUCCCAAAGUCAUGGUUAAGUGGGAAACGAUGUGGGAAGGCCCAGACAGCCAGGAUGUUGGCUUAGAAGCAGCCAUCAUUUAAAGAAAGCGUAAUAGCUCACUGGUCGAGUCGGCCUGCGCGGAAGAUGUAACGGGGCUAAACCAUGCACCGAAGCUGCGGCAGCGA